UACGUAGGGUGCGAGCGUUGUCCGGAAUUAUUGGGCGUAAAGGGCUCGUAGGCGGUCUGUCACGUCAGGAGUGAAAACUCGGGGCUCAACUCCGAGCUUGCAGUCGAUACGGGCAGGCUAGAGUUCGGCAGGGGAGACUGGAAUUCCUGGUGUAGCGGUGAAAUGCGUAGAUAUCGGAAGGAACACCUGUGGCGAAAGCGGCUCACUGGACCAUUACUGACGCUGAUGCACGAAAGCUAGGGGAGCAAACAGG
rnacentral:rRNA from 1 species